GAGAAAGACAUCUUCGGAUGUAGAGUACAGUGGCAAACGGGUGAGUAACGCGUGGGAAACCUGCCCUUCGGUCGGGGACAACACUUCUAACGAGGUGCUAAUACCGGAUGUUGUCACGACAUCGCAUGGUGUUGUGAUGAAAGGCGGACUCUGCUUGCAAGCUGUCACCGAAGGGAUGGUCCCGCGUCCCAUUAGCUAGUUGGUGAGGUAAUGGCUUACCAAGGCAGUGAUGGGUAGCCGGCCUUAGCGGGUGACCGGUCACACUGGGACUGAGAUACGGNCCAGACUCCUACGGGAGGCAGCAGUCGAGAGGCUUCCACAAUGGGGGAAACCCUGAUGGAGCGACGCCGCGUGGGUGAUGAAGGUCUUCGGAUCGUAAAGCCCUUUCGACAGGGAAGAACGGCAUGGGGGUUAACAGCUCUCAAGCAAGGACUGUACCUGUAUAAGAAGCUCCGGCUAACUCCGUGCCAGCAGCCGCGGUAAGACGGAGGGAGCAAGCGUUGUUCGGAUUUACUGGGCGUACAGGGCGUCUAGGCGGACAUACAAGUCAGGUGUGAAAUCCAUCGGCUCAACCGGUGAACUGCAUUUGAUACUGUUUGUCUUGAGUACGGGAGAGGAGAGCGGAAUUCCUGGUGUAGCGGUGAAAUGCGUAGAUAUCAGGAAGACCAUCGGUGGCGAAGGCCGGCUCUCUGGACCGAUACUGACGCUAAAGCGCGAAAGUGUGGG
rnacentral:rRNA from 1 species